rnacentral:rRNA from 1 species
GACGAACGCUGGCGGCGCGCUUAACACAUGCAAGUCGAACGGAAAGGCCUGCUUUCCCUUGUGGAUUGCGGGUACUCGAGUGGCGAACGGGUGAGUAACACGUGAGUGAUCUGCCCCCAACUUGGGUAUAAGCCUGGGAAACUGGGUCUAAUUCCCGAUAGGACUGCAGGGUGGUGCCUGUGGUGGAAAACGAUUUUCUAGUGGUUGGGGAUGAGCUCGCGGCCUAUCAGCUUGUUGGUGGGGUAAUGGCCUACCAAGGCGGCGACGGGUAGCCGGCCUGAGAGGGUGGACGGCCACAUUGGGACUGAGAUACGGCCCAGACUCCUACGGGAGGCAUCAGUGGGGAAUAUUGCACAAUGGGCGGAAGCCUGAUGCAGCGACGCCGCGUGGGGGAUGACGGCCUUCGGGUUGUAAACUCCUUUCGACCGCGAGGAAGCCACCUGGUUGGAAGGGUGGUGACGGUAGUGGUAGAAGAAGCACCGGCUAACUACGUG